UACAUUCAAUAAUUAAUUUUCAAAUAUAAGGUAACGAAAACUAUCUAAUAACGUAAAUAAAGUUUGAUUACUGCAGCUAACAUUAUUGGCUGCUGGCUAGUGACAUUCGAGUAGCACUGCUCGUCUCGUUGGGCAAACUAUAAAUAAUAUUUUUUACUACAAUAUACAUAUACUUAUAAUUUUUAUAUUUUAUUUGUUACAAAAGAAUGUUUUGUAAUUACAUCGUAUCAAGAGUACCUACAUUAAUCAAAUUUUUAUUCGUGAAUGCCUUAUAUCAUCGAAAACUUAAUACAAGAUAUCCUUUAAUGAGAAUAAUUCAAAAUAUGGGAGGAAAUGUUCAUUAUGUGGCUGAGAAAAGACUUACAAGAGAUGGCUAAGAAAUUGAUUCAAAAGUAAAUUGAGCAUAGAAAGUAAAGCAUUAAAAAGACCAGAGGAUCAAGGGAAUGAAUGCAUGGAAACUGGAGAUAUAAAAUAUAAGAAAAAUCCUUAAACAUUCCAAAUAUAACAAAUUCAUCUACCAAAGAUACUUAACAAAUUACUUUUAAUAACAAAUAUUGAAGGAAAUGUACAACAAGAAUUAAAUUUAAAAUAAGGAGAUGUUUUGUUUUUAACUUGUGGAGAAAAGAUUCGCAUGGUUAGAGAAUUACAUUAUGAUUUGGUUAUGAAUGGUUUUGAGACUGCAGGAGGACCAGAAGUAACAAAUCAAAAUUACAAAUAGAAAUAUCUUAAAUGCUAAAUAUAGAUGAAUUAUUUAGAAUCUGUUAUUCCACUUCAUGGUGGAAUUGCUAUCUGUAUUUUAUUUUUAAUUCAAAUAUCAGCAAUAUCGAGUAACAUUGAAUUAUAGUAAAAAGAUAUUAAGAAACUUCUCAAGAUUGAAUUGUUUAAUAUGUUUAAUCCACAAUACCAAAACUAUAAAAAACAAUGAAGCAAGAUUUAAUAUCAAGAGUACUUUUGAGGAAAUAAAAAGAUUUUGUCAUAUACAGACAAUAGACAAAUAAAACCUUUUGUAUUUUUUACUAUAUCAUAAAAUUAAUUGUAAAAGGCUAGCUUGUUAUGUUCUCUUUAAAAAAUUCUUUUCAACAUCUUGUGUACAUUUUAUACAAUAUGUCUGAUAUUUUUAUGUACUUUAUAAUAAUCAUCGUACUACAUGAAAAAUCUGUUUAUAUAAUAUAAUAUAAUAUAAUAUAAUGUGACCAUGAAAAGUAUUCA
rnacentral:lncRNA from 1 species